AUACACCCAUGGCGGUAACAGACCCCCCCACUUGCUAAACGUUUAUGCGGCCUCAGGUACGUGUUUGAUCUAACAAUGCCGAGAUGCAGACUGACAGACUGUCCGGUGGACAUGUUUCACUGUAAAGACGAGUCUUUACUGACAUUACAGCUGUACUUUAAACACACGUAACAAAUACAGAGAGAAAGUCGAGUUAUUUUCGACGGACACACACCGGAGAAAAAGGUGUGCAGGAAGCGGAAACAAAACCGUAAUUUCAAAAUAAAAAUUCAAAAUAAAAGAAGAAUUGGAUGUUUUGUGUUUUGUUUUGUUUUGUUUUUUUGGACAGUACCACAGUACCACAGAUUUCUUGGCCUGGUUCGGGUUCCUGUUGGCCUGGCGGCCUGCCAGGCGUGUACACCUAUAAGGAAAGCACUGUAUAUAAUUAUGUUUUGUAUAUUGUUUUCAGCUUCUGUUCUGUUUUUACCAGUUCAGACGACAAAUGAGACAGAUGUUGCCUGAAGGUGUUUGCACAGCUACAAGAGAGGAGGUGGGGUCAGCAGUUCUGAUCCCGUACUCGGUCUCACCAUCCGUCUGCUGUCUGUGUUGGUACGCAGCCCUGCGUCUGUGAAUGGGCAGAAACAAUGUGGCUCACACUGGACAAGGCGAAGAGGAGAAGGAGAGAUGGCUGAAAACAACAACAAAAAAAAGCCAAAGAGGAGGUCAGAAGAACAAAAGCUGACAAGGAAAUGCACAGGUGGAUUAAUGAUCGCUGAGAUCCUGCUGGCUCACCGUCGCUGUCACAGCUGGGCCAUUGCUGCUGUUAUUAAGUCCACCUGCCUGGGAUUUUCCCACUGGAACAAGUCAAAAUGUCUGCUGUGCGACCAGUCACAGGUGUGAUGGUUACAUGUCAACAGGGGGCGACACAGCAUGACGACAGACUUCAGGAUUUCUGACCUCUUCAGACACGAGUGAUAGUUGGAAACGGAGACAGCAGACAAGAUAAAAGAUGUCGGGAGAAGAGAGACAGAGUGUGGUUUAUUUCCUCUGACAGCUCGCAGUAAUGAAGCAUUGGGAAAAGCCAUUAAAAACGGCAGAAUGUGCCUUUAAUAACAGGUGUGGCGAAUGGUCACAUUUUCCUUUGUUGGUACUGAAACCUGCUGUUUGAUAAGAAAGAAAGAGUCAGACUGCAGGAAUUCCAAGACUAUCUCACGCGCACACACACACACACACACACACACACACACACACACAAACACACACACACACACACACACACACACACACACACACACACACAGGUUUUCUCCCCACUGUGUUUUUUUUCUUUUGGAGCAACAUAAAGAUUUGCACUUCAGUGUUGUUAUUAACUAACUAUACGUAUCAGUAUUGAUCAGGAUAUUUUUAUGUGUGUGAGGCAUGUGUCGUGUGUUUCUGUGCAUGUGUGUGUAACCAUGGCGACUGUCUGUCCGAAUAUCCUCGACAGUUUUAUUUUUUUACAGCAACCGAGGCAGAGUUAUGGCGAGGAGGCUAUAAAAAGCGGACAUGCAUCACCUGGACAGCUCACAUCUCGUCUGUCCUCCUGGAGUUAGUGAUGCUGUUUAACACAAGCAAAACAAAUUCUCUUCUCAGCUCUCGUAAUCAGUUUUUUUCCAGACGACUCGUUGUCACGUAAAGAUGCAGUGGAGCAAUGGUGUCCUGAGCAGAGAAUGAAGUCGCCCUCCCUCUUCUGUUUGAAUGCCGUAAUCUGAGCUUUUCUUUGUUUUCAUAGCCGGGCUGAACGCGCCUUCUUGUCAGCUCUUGACAGCGAUGGCUGAUUGUUGAGUUUCAUUUCCAUCGCUCAUCGAGUACUGAGGGUUGGUGGUCCAAAGCGUCGCAGUUUGAAGAUCUGGCAUCUUUCUGCACAGUCACUCAAUGCUUCUUACACAGUUGUGCUGUUAGAGAUUCAUUUUGAAGUAAAAAUGUGAGUGUUUUUAAGCUUCCUAAUCUGCCAGCAGCGGGUUGUUGGUCUCAGAAGUCCCAGAGCAGGCGUGCUCGAGUCCCAGUGAGCGGCCACAUGAACUCAACUGUGCUGCUGCUUUUCAUCGCUGACAACACUUCCUGUUUUUUUUUUUGUUGUUCCCCCUCACUUCAGUUCUGCUUAAAGAUGCUUUUUAACCAAAUGACUUUCCUCUUUGCAUUCUGGGUAACUGAACAGUAACAGUCAUCUUCAAACUUCUGCUGAAAGUCAAAGUUUGCAUUUCUCUGGAAAUGUGUGGGGUUAUAUGGGCAAUCCACCUUUCCUCUUCUUUUCAGUGAAGAGUCUCUCUAAGGUUUGAGCUAUUUAUGACUGGGAAAGCCAUAAAAAUCACUGACAUCACCAAACCAGGCUGGCAACAGUCGCCGACACUACGGUGGCCUCUUAGUUUUAUAGUAGCUUUGUCAUUGAGAUUGCGAGAUCUGAACGCAGACUUUUCUUUCCAGUCGUCACUCAGCGUCAGGAGGACCAACACUCAGUGUAUUUACAGAACAGUGCGUUUGCUCUUUUUUCUCUCUUUUAUUUCACAGUGGACAGUAUAUUCAUACAGUGUACACCAGGGCCGUAGUUAGAAUACACACAUACCCCCCUCAGAUAGACUCAAAAUGUCCCUCAAACAUUACGCUGAUAUUAAAAAAUACUUCUGCUGUGGGUGCGAUCAACAUCAAACAAUUUCAGAUGCAUUAAAAAGUUUUCACGAGUUUUCAAAUUUUGAAUCUUUUCUGAUGAGGACCCUCAGAUCCUGCAUUUGACCCCCUGAAUGUUGACUCCGUGUCUACAGUCCUGGUGGAUACUAAAACUCAAAUUACUUUUCACGUUUUUAAUAUCUUCAAACUGAUGGUGUUGAUUUUCAUUGUUAAACUUAAUGAUUACAUGUUGUACUGUCAGAUCCAUCGGACUCAAACAAUUCAAAACCAGAACUGUUUUUCUUAGUUCCUGUAACGUUCACAUGUUAAUAGAGCUGAAAAAUCAAACUGGUUGAUCAACAAAAAAUUAACUAAAAUUAAAAAGAGUUUGAGAACCGAGCCGCCUUUAAAUCAUUUGUGAAGGAAAAAUUAAACCGAACUCCGCUUGACAAAAGUGAGCUGUCACAGCUGCUUUUUUUGUUUUGUUCUGUUUUAUAUCAUUAAAACUAU